CCACGGAGGGCGCAGGCGUUGCUCGGAAUCACUGGGCGUAAAGCGGGUGUAGGCGGUCUAGCAAGUCAGAUGUGAAAGCCCACGGCUCAACCGUGGAAGUGCAUCUGAAACUGCUAGACUUGAGUGCCGGAGAGGGAAGUGGAAUUCCUGGUGUAGGGGUGAAAUCCGUAGAUAUCAGGAGGAACACCGGUGGCGAAGGCGACUUCCUGGACGGCCACUGACGCUGAGACCCGAAAGCGUGGGGAGCAAACAGGAUUAGAAACCCUAGUAGUCC
rnacentral:rRNA from 1 species